GGGGGAUGGAUUCCUGAAAACCUCUGAGUAUAUUCUUGUCUGGUAUGAUAGCAUGAAGUUAUGGUAGUUUUGGCCAUAGGUUAUCCUGUGUUGUUGAAUGCCUGUAAAAUAUAUAAUUAAUGGUGUGUGAGAUGGUUUUAGAUUAAGGUGGCAAAAAAUGAAGCAAAACCUAGGAGAAAUGUUAUGACACAGGUUGAGCUAUGUCGUGUUCCAAUGAGAUUCUUUAAAGCCAGGUGAAUAGGUGUUAUGCGUUCUACAAGU